UACAGAGGUCUCAAGCGUUGUUCGGAUUCAUUGGGCGUAAAGGGUGCGUAGGCGGCGCGGUAAGUCGGGUGUGAAAUCUCGGAGCUUAACUCCGAAACUGCAUUCGAUACUGCCGUGCUUGAGGACUGGAGAGGAGACUGGAAUUACGGUGUAGCGGUGAAAUGCGUAGAUAUCGUAAGGAAGACCAGUGGCGAAGGCGGGUCUCUGGACAGUUCCUGACGCUGAGGCACGAAGGUCAGGGGAGCAAACGGG
rnacentral:rRNA from 1 species